UUAAUUAUUAAUAUAUUAAUAGAAAUAACUUAUAGUUUAGUAUUUUUUAAGGAACUAAUAUUUAUUUUAUUUUUAUAAUUUAUUUAACUGUAAAGGUUUAUUAUUUAAUAUUUAUUAAGUAAAAUUUAUUUUUUGUACCUUUUGUAUCAGGGUUUAAUCGACUUAAAUUUAUCUAUAUAUAAAUUUCCCGAAUAUUAGAGGAGUUAUCGAUAAAUUUGUUAUAUAAUGUUACAAUAUUAUUAAUUAAUUAUUGAUAGUUGUUAUAUGCUAUUCAUCUUUAAAUAUCUGGUUACUUAAUAAUUGAAUUUAAUUCAGAAUUAAUUAAGUUAUUGUAUAAUUUAAUUUAUAAUAAAUUAAUUAAUUUAAAGUUGGAAGGGAUAAGCUUUCUAAUUUAUUUAUAAUAAUAUUAUAAAUUUUAUCUUUUGUAGGAUUAGUAAUUUCCAUCAUUUAUUUUGUUAUAAUUAGAUAUAAUUUAUUGUUUAUUUUAUUUUAUUUAAAUUUUUAUUAAGUGGUAUUAAUUAAUUAUUAUUUAAUAGUUAUAAUGAUAAAAUUAGUAGAUAUAUUAAAUUAAUAUAUAGUAACUCGGCAAAUAUAUUCUUCACCUGUUUAACAAAAACAUGUCUUAAUGUUAAUUUUUAUUAAGUCUAACCUGCUCAAUGAUUAUUAAUUAAAUAGCCGCAGUAUUUUGACUGUGCGAAGGUAGCAUAAUCACUUGUCUUUUAAUUGGAGGCUUGAAUGAAUGGUUGAAUGAGGGAAUAUCUUUCUUUAUAUUAAUAAUUGAAUUUAAUUUUUUAGUUAAAAAGCUAAAAUUUAUAAAGGGGACGAGAAGACCCUAUAGAAUUUUACUUAUAAUUUAUUUUUAGUGUUAUGGCUUAAUAUAACUAAUUAUAAAUAUUUACAGUUUUGUUGGGGUGAUAAUGAGAUUUAUUUAACUCUCAUAUUUUAUAAAUUAUUAAUAAAUAUAUAUAUGAUCCUGUAAUAUGGAUAAUUAGAUUAAAUUACCUUAGGGAUAACAGCGUAAUUUUUCUGGAGAGUUCUAAUUGAUAGAAGAGUUUGCGACCUCGAUGUUGGAUUAAAAUUAAAUUUAAGUGCAGAAGCUUAAUUUUUAGGUCUGUUCGACCUUUAAAAUUUUACAUGAUCUGAGUUCAGACCGGCGUGAGCCAGGUCGGUUUCUAUCUCUUUAUUAAUAUAUAAUUUAGUACGAAAGGACCAUUUAUAUCAAAUAAUUUGUUUAAUUUAGAAUAUAUAUAACU
rnacentral:rRNA from 1 species